CCCCCCUCUCUCUCUCUCUCUCUAGCUCCUCUACCACCAGUACCAAUGAAUCGUACUUCUUCUCCUUCUUCCCUACUGCCUUCUUCUCAUCAUCACAUUUCACCAACUUCUUCAUCAACUGCCUUCUCUGUAGCAACAAUGAGGAACACUGACUUAACUAAUAAACCAAAGAAAGAGAGGUUUUCAGAUGAUACCAGCAUUCCAAGUAGCAGCAAGAGCAGUAGUGUGUCAGUCACCAAGGAAAGCUCCAAGGUCUAAUAUUGCUGAGUCGGCUAAUAAUAAAUACUCAUUUGCUGGGAACUAUGGUUUUGGUGUUCGUGUUGGUAAGCCCAAGGGCCCACGCCCUCCUCCCCAGCAGUGGACUGCAGUGAAUGGUAUUAUACACUAGUGAUGGCUACCUACAGGUCCUUUAUAUGACAUUGGAUUAUUUUACUUCAUUCUCUUUAUAUCUCCUCCUCCUCUUCCUUUUUAUUUGUAUCGUGUGACUUGUUAGAAAAUCAGUUUUUUAGUAAAA